rnacentral:rRNA from 1 species
GAUGAACGCUGGCGGCGUGCCUAAUACAUGCAAGUCGAGCGAACAGACGAGGAGCUUGCUCCACUGACGUUAGCGGCGGACGGGUGAGUAACACGUGGAUAACCUAGCUAUAAGACUGGGAUAACUUCGGGAAACCGGAGCUACUACCGGAUAAUAUAUUGAACCGCAUGGUUCAAUAGUUAUAGCCGGUUUUGCUGUCACUUCUAGAUGGCUCCGCGCCGCAUUAGCUAGUUGGUAAGGUAACGGCUUACCAAGGCGACUAUGCGUAGCCGACCUGGGAGGGUGAUCGGCCACACGGGAACGGAGACAGGGUCCAGACUCCUACGGGAGGCAGCAGUAGGGAAUCGUCCGCAAUGGUGGAAAGCCUGACGGAGCAACGCCGCGUGAGAGAUGAAGGUCUUCGGAUCGUAAAACUCUGUUAUUAGGUAAGAACAAAUGUGUAAGUAACUAUGCACGUCUUGACGGUACCUAAUCAGAAAGCCACGGCUAACUACGUG